CCUACGGGAGGCAGCAGUAAGGAAUAUUGGUCAAUGGACGCAAGUCUGAGCCAGCCAUGCCGCGUGCAGGAUGAAGGCCCUCUGGGUUGUAAACUGCUUUUAUAGGGGACGAAAAAGGGACUUUCUAGUUCAACUGACGGUACCCUAGGAAUAAGCACCGGCUAACUCCGUGCCAGCAGCCGCGGUAAUACGGAGGGUGCAAGCGUUAUCCGGAUUUACUGGGUUUAAAGGGUGCGUAGGUGGGUUGGUAAGUCAGCGGUGAAAUCUUCAAGCUUAACUUGGAAACUGCCAUUGAUACUAUCAAUCUUGAAUCAUCUGGAGGUAAGCGGAAUAUGUCAUGUAGCGGUGAAAUGCUUAGAUAUGACAUAGAACACCAAUUGCGAAGGCAGCUUACUACGGAUGUAUUGACACUGAGGCACGAAAGCGUGGGGAUCAAACAGGAUUAGAUACCCUGGUAGUCCACGCCCUAAACGAUGGAUACUCGACAUACGUGAUAUACUAUGUGUGUCUGAGCGAAAGCAUUAAGUAUCCCACCUGGAAGUACGAUCGCAAGAUUGAAACUUCAAAUGAAUUGAGG
rnacentral:rRNA from 1 species